rnacentral:rRNA from 1 species
CACGUAGGGGGCGAGCGUUGUCCGGAUUUAUUGGGCGUAAAGAGCUCGUAGGCGGCUCGGUAAGUGAGGUGUGAAAACUCGAGGCUCAACCUCGAGAUGUCGGCGGAAACCACUUGGCUAGAGUCCGGAAGAGGAGAGUGGAAUUCCCGGUGUAGCGGUGAAAUGCGCAGAUAUCGGGAAGAACACCUAUGGCGAAGGCAGCUCUCUGGGACGGUACUGACGCUGAGACGCGAAAGCGUGGGGAGCGAACAGG